rnacentral:snRNA from 1 species
GGAUGUGAGGGGGAUCUGACUGUGACAUCUGUCACCCCAUUGAUCGCCAGGGUUGAUUCGGCUGAUCUGGCUGGCUAGGCGGGUGUCCCCUAUCUCCCUCACCGCUCCAUGUGCAAGCCUCCCAAAGCUUCGCCAUCGGUCCAAGAGGAUGACCAUCCCCGAUUCAGUCAAGGGUAUACGAGUAGCUGCACUCCCCUGCUAGCACCUCCAAACAAGCUCUCAAAGUAAUAAAAGAAAGUAACUGCUGGCCUAAAAUUCUAUUUUAUGAUGUUACACUUCAAAAAU